rnacentral:tRNA from 1 species
GCGGACAUCGUAUAGUGGCUAGUAUGGCUGCCUUCCAAGCAGCAGGCGGGAGUUCGAUUCUCCCUGUCCGCA